rnacentral:rRNA from 1 species
GACGAAGGAUGCAAGCGUUAUCCGGAUUCAUUGGUUUAAGGAGCGUAGGUGGCCUUAUAAGUCAGUGGUGAAAUCUCUGGCUUAACCCAGAAAUUGCCAUUGAUACUGUAGGGCUUGAGUAUAGUUCCGUUGGCGGAAUUAUGACAUGUAGUGGUGAAAUACAUAGAGAUGUCAUAGAACACCGAUUGCGAAGGCAGCUGACGAAACUAUAACUGACACUGAGGCUCGAAAGUGUGGGGAUAAACAGG